rnacentral:rRNA from 1 species
CCUACGGGUGGCAGCAGUGGGGAAUAUUGCUCAAUGGGCGAAACCCUGAAGCAGCAACGUCGCGUGCAGGAUGACGGCUCUCCGAUUGUUAAACUUCUUUGAUAGGGAAGUAACGCGCGUUACGUGUCGAACUUUGCAUGUCCAAUUUCGAUCAAGCCGGCGUGGUACCACGCCGGGUGCCAGUGUUAUUCGGAAUGACUGGGCGUUAAGGGGGCGUAGGCAGGAUAGCAAGUACGUUGUGCAAUGCUCGGGCUUAACCAGAGAACUGCAGUCGAAACUGGUGUGCUUGAGUAUGGGAAAGGUAGGUGGAAUUCUUGGUGUAGCGGUGAAAUGCUUAGAGAUGACGAAGAAUACUGAUUGCGAAGGCAGCUUGCUGAAGCGGAACUGACGCUGAUGCGCGAAAGCGUGGGUAGCGAACAGGAUUAGAUACCCGAGUAGUC